rnacentral:rRNA from 1 species
AUGCCGGCACAGAAUAGCUUCCAGGAGGCCCGCGGCGAGGCGGAGCUGGUCGUCUUCUCGGCCAUCGACGACCUAUUCGCCAAGACGGUGGUCACCGCAGACGCCAUCGACAUACUAGUAGUAAACUGCAGCGUCUUCGCCCCAGUGCCGUCCAUCAGCGACAUGAUCGUGAACAGAUACAAGCUCCGUGAUGACGUCCGCGCCGUAAACCUUUCCGGUAUGGGAUGCAGCGCCGGCGUGAUCUCGGUGGGUCUCGCGGCCGGCCUGCUGCAAGCAACGGGCCACGGCGCGACGAAGCACGCUCUGGUCGUCUCCACGGAGAUCAUCACUUGUAACUUCUACACCGGCAAGGAGAGGCCCAUGCAGCUCUCCAACGUCCUGUUCCGGGUCGGCGGCGCGGCCGUGCUGCUGUCCACAUCGGAGGACAGGGCGCGGUUCCGCCUCGCGCACCUCGUCCGGACGAGCACCACGGGCACGCACGACAGCUCCUACUCGUGCGUCUUCCAGGAAGAGGACGGCGAGGGCAUCUUAGGUGUCAACCUGUCCAAGGAUCUCCUGGCCGUCGCCGGCAACGCUCUCAAGGCCAACAUCACAGCCGUCGCGCCCCUCGUCCUCCCUCUCUCCGAGCAGCUGCUCUUCGCCAUGUCCUUUGUGGCCAGAAAGCUGGGGCUGACCGUGAAGCCGCACGUCCCCGGCUUCCGCAAGGCGUUCGAUCACUUCUGCGUGCACUGCGGCGGACGCGCGGUUAUUGACAAGGUGCAGAGCAGCCUCGGGCUGUCGGACGAGCAAGUGGAGGCGUCGCGCAUGACGCUUCACCGGUUCGGGAACACGUCGAGCAGCACGGUGUGGUACGAGCUGGCGUACAUCGAAGCCAAGGGCCGGAUGCGGAAGAACGAUAAGGUAUGGAUGAUCGCGUUUGGAUCUGGGUUCAAGUGCAACAGUGCCGUCUGGGAGUGCAUCCGACCAGCGGACCAGCCGGACAGAGCAUGGGCCGGGUGCAUACAUCGAUACCCGGCUACGAAUUACCACUCCAGUAUAUAA